rnacentral:lncRNA from 1 species
AGUACGGGGGGUUAAAAUUUAUAACUCAAUUUUCCUUUUUAUAGAGGGGAUAAGAGCAUGCUAAGGUUAAAGAGUCAUACUCAUUCAUUUUCCAUAAUUGAAGGGUAAUGUUUCUAAUCUAAUCAAGCAAAUAGACCAACCUACUUCUAAUUUUCUAAAUAAAAUGCAAGUCUAAAUAUCAUGUUUUGUGCACAUAGGGAUAAGGAGGAUAGUAUAAAAGGAAAUAUCAUACAAAAUGAGGAAAAAAGAUCCUAAAAGUGAAAAAUAUGUAUGAAAUGUAAUAAAUGUCACGCAAAAUAUGAUUCUAGCGCGUGAAUGGCCUAAAAGGUCUAGUAUUGGACUAGACAAUCUCUAUAGGUUCUCACUACAAGGCCACAACUAGCAUUGGACUAGUGUGGUGACAUCAUGCAUUUAUUAUAACUAAAUAAAACAUAUAAAACAUAAUUAAAAUAAAUAAACACUUAGAGCACGUAACACAUAAGUAUAAUAUCUAGAUGCAAAAUCGUAGGCAAAGCAGAUAAACACAUAAAGACGUAAGCAUGCAAGCACACAAGCAAAUAAACAUGCAAAAAAACCUAACUAUUACAUUCGGAAUUCUAACUAAAAUCUAAAGGGGGAAUUUGAGAAAAUAAUAACCUAACUAUUACAUUCAUCUAACUCAUUAUACUUUUAGUCAAAAUAAAAUCUAUCUAUUACAAUACCUCCCAAAUAAUCAUUGACAAUUAAAUUAAAGGGAAUAAACAAGAACAUUGAAAUGAAUUAAAUUGGGUAAAAAAUAAAAGAAAAGUCACUCAAGGCAUGCAAUCAUCACAUAAAAACACAUAAGAGCAUAUAAGAGAAUUUAAAAUAAUAAUAGAAGAUACCUCCCUUGAAAUAGUGAUUAAAUGAGGUUGGAUUUGCCCUAUUUAUACUCUAAAAUCCACUAAAUAGUCAAGGCACCAAUUUAAUUAACAAAUAAAGAGAAUAAAAUGUAACAUAUGAAAAAUUCAUUUUAUUAUUAGAAAAAAAUGGAAAUAACCAUGAAAUUUAUCAACUAAAACACUUAAAUGGAGCCUAAUUAACAAUUAAAGAAAAUAAACAUCAAUAAGCAUGAAACUCCUAAUUAAAGAGAACAAAACAUCAAUAGCCAUGAAACUCCUAAAACUUUACUAAUUAAAUGCAUUUAAAUAAGACAUGAUUGAUAAUUAAAGAUGAUAGGCAAAUUAUACUUAGGAAAUCAAAGUUGGUAGGGGCCUAAUUGCAAAGAUUAAGAAAGUUUUUGGUGUCAAUUUAUAAUUUUAGGACAUUUGGGGGUCAAAAUUGAAUAAAAGAUAACAUUUUAGGGGCCAAAUUGUAAUUAUAUUAGGGACCUAAUUGAAAGAAAUCCAAAGUUCCAGGGCCAUAAUCAACAUCCAUUUAUAAAAAAUCCAACAACAAAAACAUUAACCCUACGCCUUAGUUCAUUUUCCAACCCAACAAGGUAAUAAAUCUUCUAAAAAUUAUUAAGGCAUAAGUAUGUCCUAAAACCCAUAAAUAAUUUGCUAAAAACACAUGCUUAAAACAUGCAAAGGGGGAUUAAGGCUUAAAAGGGUGAAAACUGAUUUAUUUUUGUAAGUUUUUGAGCCAUAGUGUAAUUGUUCUAAAGUUAAGGGGUCAAAAUGCAAUUUUUUUGAACUUCAUGCAAGCUUGAGCGUCUGUUUUUGCAGUUUUCUUGCAACUGAUUCAACCGCAGAAAAUCCCACCCAAAACUCAAACUAAACUAGAAAAAAAACACAAAGACCAACCCAUUUCCUUAACAAAUUCCAAUAACAAAACACUCCAUUUGAAAGGUCAAAGCAAAAGAGAAAAAUGCAAGGUAAGCUGCAAAAACGAACAGGUGCAGCAACAAGAUUUCCACAUUUUUUAUCCAAAUCUAAUGAUACUAUUUGUUCACAAGAAGUUCGUAAUAUUCCCUUUCUUUGGUAUACCUAAUCUUGUUGGUGAAUUUUUGAAGUCAAAAUCGUGACACGAGCCGCCCUGUUAAAACCUGUUAAAAACCCCAAUGGAUCUAGGAGUGACCUCCCGUGCUUGUGCACAAAUUAAAGCUUGUUGAAAGAUGAAUACCUUUGGUAAUUUUCAUUAUCAAAUAGGCCUUCGUAUACCUUACCUAGGCCUAGCGAAGCACAGGGGGCAGUCUUUUUUUUCUGUAAAUACAGCUCUUUUGAUCAUUUCUUCGCAUGUACCUGCAGUAGCAUUCAAGUAAUGCCCUUUGAUUUCACCUGUUUCAGCCUGUGCUUUAUAAAGAACUUCAGCACAAAAGUAGAAACGAUCUCUCCAACACAUAAAUGGUUGGGAGUUCACGUUUUCAUCGUCUUUGGUAAAAUCAAGUCCCCCGCGAAGACAUUCAUAAACAGCUCUACCGUAGUUUUUAGCAGAUAAACCUAAUUUAGGUUUAAUAGUACAUCCCAAUAGGGGACGUGUGAGGAUCCGCAAAUUCCCUAUAUUUUUCCUCAAAAAUGCCUUUUAUUUGAAAAUUAUAUUUUAGCAAAGGCCACUACCCCAAUUAUUUCACACUAAGUGUAAAUAAACCUAGAAAAUAGGGUUUUAUGCUUCGGUUUCAAGUUUGGAGUAAAAUUAGGGUUUUCGCGAUUUUCUCGCCGGAUGAAUUUUCGGUACAGAGUAAGGAUUAAAUUUGGGGAUUAAAAGUGAUUUUUAAGUGAGAAAUAAUGUGUGACUAGUAGCAAUGAUAUAAGGAUUGUGAUUGGGAAGUAAAAAUACUAGUACGUGAGUUUUUAAGAAAAACGGCGCGAACCGGCGGGUCCCGCGCGCUACCGAUUGAACGCACCACUUGACCACCAUUUUUCUUACCGAACAAGUUUAUUGACUUUUGCACAAAAUAUCCUCUCUCUUGGCAGCUAGCUUGACCGAAACUUGUGGCUCAAGACAAGAGAAAGAAAGAGAAAAAUUUGUGGACAAGAUUAGUCCAAGUGUUAGCCAAAAUUGUGGUCCUAAUUAACUCUAAUCUUCUUACUUCUAUAUAAGACAAGCUAACCUUCAUCUCUCUUCAUUUUGCUGCUGCUGGCCGAGAGGAAGAACAAGAAAAACACCAAAGGGAAAACAUUUCAUUUCAUCUACAAUCCAACAACUUAGUGAGAAAUCAAACAAAGUAAACCGAUUAAACUUGUUCUUGAGUGACUAGCUAGUGGUUUGUGGUGAGACUUUGGAAGGAGAAGGCUUGGACUACUCUUAGUGACUUCUAUUCAAGGUAAGAGAGCUUAUCUCUCCAAGUUUUGCUUUCAAUUUUGUUAAAUUAAGUUAGUAGUUUGAUUAUAGUGGUGGAAUCAUGGAUGAUUAGCAUGUUGUAGAGGUUUUCCCCAAUUUAUUUGAUGAACUAGGGCUUGUGGAAAUUCUGCCCAAAUUGUUGUAUGAUGCUUAUAUGUUGCAAUUGAGGUUAUAUAAGAUGUUUUGGGAGUGAUUGGACCAAGAAAUUAAGGAAAGUUGCACUAGAAACUCAAAAUUUCAGAAUCUGGAAAUUUUUCCCCAAUUUUCUGUCCGGUUUUGUAGCUGUGUGUUAGAGGCUGAUUUGGCCUUAGGUCAAAGAAUUAAAGUUGUUGAGAAUGGUAUUUUAUAGGUUCCUGUAAAAUUUCAGCUCAAUCGGAGCAUCGUAGCAUGUGAAAAGUCCAAAAUACCCUUACUGUUUUAAGUAUUUCCCAGCAGUCCGUUUCAGCAGUUAAGUCCAGUUUAUCACGUUUUUUGACCAGGAUCCAUUUUGAUUUAGCUCUGAACCAAAACAUGAAAAUUGUAUUGUUCUGUAUUAGCUUUAAAAUGCCUCAAGGAACACCUGAUUCGGACUUGUGUACACUGAGUUAUGUCCACUACAGUGUAAUACGAUUAAACAGCCGACGAAGUGGUUUCUGGUUUAGUAAUUGGAGAAUUUGACCAAGUUACCUUAGGAACUGGACUAAGUGACCUUCAUGAACAUUGUAGCCCUGUGUCUUAGCUUCGAAACGGCAUAAGUUGUGCCUCAAUACGAUAAGCGUAGCCUCGGAUAUGUUAUUUCCACAUUUGUACGUCAAAUCUAUCUUGUGCUAAGUUGAAUUUCUGCACUUGUGAUUGUUGUGAAUCUUGUUUUAUGAUAUUGUGAGCCUAUGGAACGGCUCUUGGUUUGAAUUGUUUUUAUGUGUGAUGUUGGGUUGUGGUUGAAGAAAAAUAAUGAAGCCUAAAUGGCUGGAAAUUAGGUAAACACAAAAGGUAUGCUGCCCGAAUUUUUACUCGAGAACUAGAAAACUAUAUUUGCGACUUGAGUGAAGGUUAAGUACUUAUCACUUGAACUAGCGAUAACCUUUGUUACUAUGGUUGUUGAGGAUUAUACGUUAGGACUUGGUCGAACUUGUACCCUUGAGAAAUGAAAUAAUGAUUGCUCGAAGUACGUUUUCCUUGUACCUUCGACUCGCAUGACAAUUUCAAGUAUAAAUGUUACAAAGUUUUAUCAUUUAAAAAGCGAGCGAGUAUUUCACAAGUAUUCUCCAAGUGAAUUUCCAUUUAUUGAUUCUUAUUGAACGAAACGUAUAAGUUUCGAAUCUUAGUCAUGUUUCAAAGUUCUCAAACUGAGUUUUAUCGCAAAUUUGGACUCCGAACUCGGAGUAUAACCUGAAAGUGACUAGUAAAGGCACUAUAUCUUUUGGUGAGUGCUUUCAAAUACUGAAUUGAACUUGAUACUUGUACUUGAUACGUGACCAAUAUGAUUACAUGCCACAUGCGUGAAUUGUUAGGGCAAGAGUGUACUUUAUCGCACUUGCCCUUACAUGAUAUAUCUUUGUUUAUUGUUGCCAUUGACUUGACAUACUUGUUUAUGAUGCGCGCACUUCCUGGAAUUCCGGAAACCCUGCGGCGAGUUACUUGAGUCGAGUCGGCAAGGGCUUGGUCGAUUGGGUAACGAACCCUGGGUCUCUUGUUUGGUCGAGUGAAGUGAUUUCUCCUCGACUAAUCGGUAUACUCGAGUAUUACCACCCGUGUUCUUGAGGAUUUUGGGCCCAGUAGGGGGUGUGAAUGGUGGACGGAGAGUCGUGUAAGUGGUGCUUUACUGGAUUGGUUCCUUUACUUGAAAGUUGACGGAGUGUCAACUACUACGUGAUCAAGCUCCUGAUGAUGAAUGGAAGUUGGCUCCUGAGGGCCAUCCGUAUCCUUAUGCUUUGGAUUGAUUAUUGCUUAUUGGAUUAUUGUUGUUUUUGAAAAACUUUUACACUCGCUCAUUUUGAGAUUUCUACUUGACGUGUUAUUGCUCACAUUGAUGAACUCUUCAUGCUCGUUACUUUGCUAUAUCGAAAGCUUGUACAUAUAAUUAAUGGUCAAUUUGCUAUUUGGAACCUCACUGGAUUUUUAGCUCAUACCACGUUAUUUGUUUUCCUUACAGGGGGUACGAGCGAGGCGUGAGAUAUGUAAAGACUAGCGUAGUCUAGUUGUUUGACUUUUGACUUUUGACUUGUACUCGCGCUAUUCCUCGAAUGGAACAUUUUGUACUUGGUUUGUAUACGUUUUGAAUUAGUUUGAGUAUAUCGAGACUUUGUACCCUAUUUCCUAUCCGUGUAUAUUAUAAGAUUGAAUCGUGGAUGUUAUUUAUGGUUUAUGAAUGCGUAUGUACGUGAUUCGCGUGAGCUUGUGAGUGAGUCCUGGCGAGAGCUGGGCAGGCGGUCCGCCGAACCCUUUGGUACGCCUUAGGGGGAGGUGGGGUCGUCACAGAUGGUAUCAGAGCUCCUAUUGAGCUCGUGCCGGGAGAAGGUUCUCGGACUGUGGGGAUUGACUUGUUAAGUAUGGAACAAUUGUCUAUUGUUGGGAAUCUUAGAUAUGUAUGUUGGGUAGGAAUCUUUAAUACGAAUGAUUCGCUCUUGAGCCUGGCCAGCUUGAGUGGUGAAUUAUCAUAUUUUUGGAUUCUUGUCCCCGAGUACCAAAGAGUGACACCUUUACGAUAAGUUGAGAUCUCGCGUGAUAUUCAGAUAAGUUUGGAUUGUGAAAGCAAAGGCACAGGGAGCGUGAAUAGUCUGGACUUGAAAAAUAUUGAAGAUAUUGCUGGGAUUUGGGAUCCUUCUUAUUCACGUGUUUCGAGCCUUGAUUAAGUGUAGUGCCUGAGCGAUACCUGGGGUUAAUGCUCUAUAAGUUAUGUGACUUGUUUUAAUUGAAUGUGUGAUAUUGCCUUGCCUUGUUUUAUGAUUUAGAGGGGUUUAUGAAUUGCAAUAUUCCGUUUUAUGCUGUUUAUGUUUAUAUAGUUACUUAGUGGUUAUAUUCUAUCAUUAAUUAGUUGGUUAUAUUGUUAUAGUUGGUUAGCUGUGAAACAUGAAGGAUAAGAGAAGUCGGGCCAAGAAAACUAACCGAGAACGCGGUUCUAGGCGAGGCCGUGAGGGUGAACAUGAGACGGCCCCACUUCCCCCUAGGGCGUACCAAAGGGUUCGGCGGGUCGCCUGCCCAACUCUCGCCAGGACUCACUCGUUCACUUCAAUCCUCAAUUAAAAUCGAAAUAAAUCACGGGAAUAAAUAUAAUGACGAUCCAAAACUUAACGCAAAACUUAUGUACAUUACUAUCUCAAAAGGGAGUACAAACAUCGAAUAUACAAAGGUUCUCGGUUCACCACACAUCCAGCCCGUGCCAAGCACUAGGGCGAGAACCAUUACAAAACCAAAAACUAGUCUAGGCUAGUCUAAACUGAGCUCUCGUCCUUGCUCGCCUUCCCCUGUUAAGGAAAACAAACUAAAGGGGUGAGCUAAAAGCUCAGUGAGAUUCUAUAUACAAAAACAAGUAAUUGAACAAGGACAUUAAUCAUGUAAUAACAAAUAAUCCAGAAAACAUGUCCAAUAUAAAGCAAUGAUAAUGCAUUCAUUAAAAGGAUACGGGCUCACAAGGAGCUAUUUGUUCGUUCGUUCGUUCCCUUGACAUUUCACCUUAUUACUCCAAUUAUUUGAAAAUUUCCUUUUUUGAGAAGUAAAACCCUCGUGCCUGCGUUCGUUCAUUCAUCCCUUUCCGGACGUUGGCCGGACUCCACCCAUCCGGACAUGGCCGGACUAUAAGGUAAUACUCGAGUAUACCAAAUGUUCACCCAGGUCACCAUAUCGCCCGACCGAGUCCGCUUCUGGCUCGAGUCGAUCGGUAACAAGAGCAAGGGCCCAGUUCAGCCAAAAGGCUUACAUUCAUGCGCAACUAGUAUUUCAACAUUUAAUCACCGAAAAUUUCAUAUUUAUUUAGGUCGAGUGCGAUAAAGUACACACUCACCUAGCAAAAGUUCAUUUUAGAAAUCAUAGAAAACAAGUAACAUUUAAUCAAAUAGUCACGAAUAAUCACAUAGACCCAACAAUCCACUUAGUCAUAGAAACAAAACGUAUAUAGAACACUCACCUAUUUAAGCAAAAUAAUGUCCAAAGUAUCCUCCCAGAUAACACUUUCAAUCGCCAAGAAACCCUAAUAAUAGCCAAGAGAAAAUAUUACAGUUAAACCCCUCCAAAGGUUAAGUGGACCAAAGAAAAUUCAAAUAACUACUAAUACCAAGCGUAAGUAUAGUUUUCUAGUCCUCGAGCGUAAAUUUGGGCAGCAUACCCUUUGUGUUUACCAAAUUUUCAGCCAUUUUGGCUUCAUUAUUUUUCUCAAUCCAACCCAAAGUUGUCCAUGACACAAAUUCAGUUCCAUAGCCAUUCCAUAGGCUCAAUACAAUACAAGAACAAAAUUAAGUGAUAACAAGUGCGGAAAUAUAACCUAGCGAAAGAUAGAUUUGACGUGUGGUUGCGGAAAGAAAACAUCCGAGGCUACGCUUAUCGGAUUGGUAUGUAACUUAUACCGUUUCGAAGCUAAGACGAAGUCCUACAACUUCCAUGAAGGUCACAUAGUCAGAUUUCCAGGGUAACCUGGUCAUAUUCCCAAGUUACAGAACCAACUUCCAACUUGACGGCUAAUUAACCGCACUAGACUAGAAUGGUCAUAUCUCAGGCUACCAAGGUCUGUUUAAGGUGUUCUUGGAUGCGUUUAAAAGCUAAGACAGAGUACUAAAACUUUCAUGUUUUGGAAAAAAGCUAACUCAGUACGGAUCCUAGUGAAUAAACAUGAUAAACUGGAUAAACUGACCAAACGGACUACUGGGAAAAACCUUAAAACAUUGAGGGUAUUUUGGUCUUUUCACAGGCUACGUUGCUCCGAUUGAGCUGAAAUUUUGUAGCCACCUAUAAAAUACCAUUCUCUACAACUUUCAUGUUUUAUGACAAGCCCAAUUCGGCCUCUAACAGGGUGUAACAAAAACGGGCGGAAUAGGAUGAAAAUUUCCAGAAAUCCGAAAUCUUUUGGUUUCAAUGAUAGUUUUCUUAAUUUCUUGCUACACUUGCUACCAAAACCCCCUAUAUAACCUUAUAUACAACAUAUACUAACUAUACAAAAAGUUUAGGCAGAAAUUAAUCAAACUCUAAUUUACAUAUUUCAUCCAAAAAUCACCACAACAACUUGCAUCACUUGUAAUCAAACCCAAAACAUGAACUAUUUAACAUCUUAAACAAGAAUAAAAGGAUCAAAGCCAUAUAUCAGAUUUUAUACCUCAAAAAGAAGGCUUGCAAGAGUGAUCCUCCACUAUUUCUUGAAGUUUUUGGUUCCCUUAGCUUCCCAAGCUUCCAAACUUACAAUCAAUCGAUUUAGAAUUCGAUUUUAGCACUUGGUUGGUGUAAAUCAAGAAGGAAUUUGUUUUCUCUUGCUCUCCCUUUCUCUCUCUCUUGCUUGGCCAAGACCAGAAAAAAAUGAAGAAGAAAGAUGGCUGAAGUGAAGGAUAAAAAGGCAAGAAAAAAAAUUAAUUAAGGAGUCAUGAGGUGGUGACACUUGGCGCCACCAAAGCCAUGCAAAUUUUUCUCUCUCCCUUACAUUUUUGGCCACAAAUUUCGGUCAAAGGCAGCUAGAAAUGAAGGGAUAUUUUGCUCAAAUAUCAAUGAGCUCAUGUGGUAAGAAAGUGGUGGUCCAGUGGUGUGUUCAAUCGGUAGUGUGCGGUACACGUCGGUUCACACCGUUUUUCUUUAAAACACCCGUACUAGGGUUUUUACUUCCUAUUCACCAACCUUAUAUCAUUGCUCCUAAUCACAUAUUAUUUCUCACUUAAAAGUCACUUUUAAUCACCAAAUUUGAUCCUUGCUCCGUACCGAAAAAUCAUCCGGCGAAAAUCGCGAAAACCCUAAUUUGCUCCAAUUUUGAAAACGAAGAGUGAAACCCUACUUUCUAGAUUCAUUUGCACUUAUUGGAGAAUGAUUGGGUAGUAGGGCUUUAAUAAUUGAGAAAAAUAUAAGAAAUUUGCGAGUCCUCACACUCUCUCCCCCUUAAAAGAAUUUCGACCUCGAAAUUCAUACCUUCCGUCGCCUCGGAGGACCCCAGAACUUGUUGCUGAUCUACGGCAUAAACUUGUGUCGAUACUUUUGUUUGAUUUCCUCUUUCAUGAGGUUGUUUCGGUUUGGUUCCUUCCACUUGUUGAGUACUACCCUCUCGUGGCUGUUUCUUCGGGCAAUUGUUAAGUUGAUGAUUGCUACUCCCACAAAUCAAACAUUUUCCCCCUUUCCGCCAGCAAUCAUUCUCAGUGUGAUUUGCCUUUCCACAGUAUUCACAGGCCAAUCGAGGAGCUACUGUUGGAUCUUCUCGAGAAAUGUCCUUUGAUCCGAUCUGACUUCCUUUCAUGGACCUUUCACCUAAUGCUCUUAAUGUCCAAGGUGGGCGAGGUGAAUGGUUCACUUUUUGCACUUUGGAGAGCAUUGUCUUUUCUCCGAAUUCCUCAGGUGUGCUGUUGGAUAUAUCUCUCUUCCGCGUUUGAAAGGCUUUUACUUGGGCUUUCACAUCCUCAAUUCUUUGGACCUUCUCAAGAGCCUCUGUAAACGUAUUAACUUGAACUGCCGCUAAUGCCUCCUGGAUUUCCAAAUUUAGUCCUUGUACAAAUCGUCUUAUUCUCCGUCGCUCCGUAACCACCAAUUCGGAAGCGAAUUUAGAUAGUCUAGUAAAUUUGGUCUCAUAUUCGGCCACACUUAGGGUUCCCUGACGCAAGCCAAUGAAUUCGUCCUCUCUCCUUUCUUGGACUAAAGGUGGGAGAUACUUUUCGUUAAAUUCCCUUACAAAGUUCGCCCAUGUCCAUACUGUCUGUUCUCUUUCCCACUUGGCCUUAAUUACAUUCCACCACGCGCGGGCUGGUCCUUCGAAUUGAAAUACAGCAAAAUUUACUUGUCUUUGCUCCAUAUAAUUCAAAGCCGGGAAGAUAUUAAUCAUUGCCUCCAACCACUGCUCAGCUAUAUCCGGAUCAGGCCCUCGUUGAAAUUUCGGAGGUAGAAACUUUUGGAACCUCUCAAGAGCCUUAUCCUCUCCGAUCUCAGGAUUCCGGGGUUGAUUCACUGGCAUUUGGCCUUGUUGAUCUACCAGUCGUGCCAGGAUAUUUGUCAUUUGUUGCAUCGCCGUUGCCAUUUGAUCUCCAGCCUCAACCCUCGGUCCCUGUUCUUGCUCGGCCACUGUUUCUCUUUCUUCCCUCGGUUCUUGAGCUUGCCUAACUCCAUGGCCACGACUAGUUCCACGUCCACGACUACGUCUCCCGUCCAUAUAUAUGUUUUCCCUCUCUCUUUUCUUUUCUUUUCCCCAAAAAGGUAAUUUAGUAAAUAAACACAGUAAAUUGACUACAGUAACAAAUUCUAGCAUUCCAAAUACACCAAUAAACAUAUACGCACAUAACAUGCCAUAUCAAGAAGACGGAUAAGCAAAUACACAAAUACAUAUCAAGUUGGACAGAUAACCAUGUACACACAUGUAUACUAACGUCAUGUAGUAACAAUAUACAGGUAAAUCAAAAGGAAAAGGCAAAGUCGUCCCAGUAUCAGCCCGUCCAGUCCCUCACAUCACUUACUAUCCAAACUAGAUGUCCCUCACGUCACUUACUAACGUCUUGUGCUCAUUCUAGUCAGACAAAGCCUGUUCAUGUUCCCAAAAUGCAAGUCUCAAGUACUUAGCAGCGCCUCAACUCUGGAGUACUCAGGCACAAGAAUCCGAAAUAAGAUAAUCCACAUCUCGAGCUGCAGUCCCAAGAGUAAACUAUCUACAAUCGGAAUUCCUACCUGACAUACCUAUCUAUGAUCCUCAGAUACCAUGAGAAAGAUUUAAGGCCUAUAACAUUCGCAAUUCAUAGCUUCACUUAGUCCCUCAUACUUAUUCACCACUUAGUCCAGGGUCACUCCGCGCCGAGACCACGCGAAGCAGCUAUAGGUUUUAUCCCUCAAUCGCUUAACUCUCAAGUCAAAUCGUCAAAUCGAAUCUUCUUGCAGAAUGAUAUGGCACGUAACCAUCCUGAGACAAGAAGCAAUUCGCCACUGCCAUCAGUAGUUUACAUAACCGAUCACAAAAUUGGAUAGAUGAGCAUCUAGCAAACUGUUUCUCACUUUCCUUAUUGGGUCUAUUAAGGGGAUCAUACACGAAAAUGGAGCUCAAAAACCAUCUAAUUGCAUCAAAAAAUUCAUCCACGACAAACAGUUCUCCACAGAGUAAAUUAAUCUCAACCCCAGCUAUCCCUUAUCAUGCGGUGCUACAGUUAAAGAAUUCGACUUCAGAACUAAAACUUGCUUUUGAUAAAUACAAGUUAAAAUAAUAUAUAAUUUUUACUCCAAUAGUAUCUAAAAUUGGAUAUGGUGUAAACUAGUUUGGUAUCACUGGACCUUUGGUCCAGUGGUCAUCCCAAGCCUUCUUAGGCUUGGUGGUGCGGGAGGUCAAGGGUUCGAACCUUGCCUCCCACAAAAUUUGUCAUAAUAUGUGACGGUCUUCAUUGACCAGUUUCGAUAGAAUUUCUACUCACAUCGAGUCCCCUCCCCUCCCCCUAGAAUAGGUUAGCUUAGGUUAUAGGAAUUCUAUCGUAUCGACAAAAAAAGUAAACUAGUUUGGUAUGAUGGAUGAAUAUGACACAUGGCAAAGGCAAAAGUUGUGGAUAUGAGGGUUAACUGUAAUGCAGAUAAGCAUAACAUGUAAACCUGAAAAGCUAGCGGCAACAUGUUAGUUCUGAAAAGUACAAAAAAAAAAAAAAAAAAACUCAUGAGAUGGAGGAAAGAGAUGGAGAGGUUGAUGGAAGCGAUUGCAGCCAUAAAGUUGGCGAAAAUACAAGAGUUUAACAUCUGCACCUAUGAACACACGUGCAGCUAUCAUUUAUUGGUUCUAACACAUUCAGUGCCAUUCGAAGAGUAAGGGAUAUUUACAUUUGCUUGGUACUCAAUGCUAUUAACUAUGGCACAAGUCAGCAGCUUACAAGAGGAGCAACUCAAAAAAAGAUGCGUGUUGGCAUAUUCUCUAAAGAAUCCAUAAGAGGUUUCAUCCUAACAUAUUAUGGUAUUCUAUAAGUUGGAACUAACCAACAAAAAUAGAUGUUUAACGAUAACCUACAAUGCAACAGUACAGCACCUGAGAAGGCUAAUAAAAGGCAUCCAAAUAUUCUUCACCAUCUCAGUAAACAAAAAACCCUUCCAUCACAACAGUCACUGUUCCCACAAGUGGUGGAAGAACAUUAUAUCACUAGAGAUUUAACUUUCUACACGUCUGAUACACGGUGUCAAACUCAAUAAUUAAAAUCAUAUGGAAGUUUUGCAAAUCUGUCAGUGUUUUGCAGUGUUAUGUCUAUAAAGUUAUAGAAAAAAAAGAAGAUGAAGUUGUUAUAAACAACUAGCAGAAGAAACCAGAACUCACUACACUACACAUGAUAAAUGUUUUGAGGAUUAAAUAAUACCUGCGGUGAAGAUAAGAGAAUAAUGUUCCUGAAGUUCUCCAAGGUCUUUUGCUGAGAGAAGAGAAAUAAACAUAGAAGAUAUAUAUUCAGUGACAACAAACAAAGGUUUUUUUCCAACCCAUCAGAAAAGGAAAAUAUGAUGAAAAUUUUCACUGGAAAAGGCUAAAGGAAAAAAGAGUCCAGAGGCAAAGAAAACUUCAGAGAAUGCUGUCAAUCAAAUCAUUACCUUACAAAGUCUGUACAGAAAAGUAUUUUGGAGAUCUGGAUCAUCCGUGAAAGUAAGCUGAUGAAUGCAUUGUGUGCCCUUGAGCUUCUUCAAGAGCCACAAUCCGGAAUUGAAUAAAGAAUUCGAGCUGUACAAAUAUCCUAGAUGUGGACCAGAAACAGAUACAUAGGUAUAAAGGAAUCUGAGGUAUGGUUCCAUAACACUCUCUGCAAAAAGUAAAGCACAAAAUCAGCAACCUUCCAAGUUGAUCUUAGAAUUGCAUUUUUUGCCACAGCAUUCGAACCUGUUAAUGCAGUUCUCAAAAUGAUGUUCCCAAUUGAAUGUCCAACGAAGCUUAGCUUUAUACUUCGUAAACCUCCAGAUCUAGAGACCUUAUCCAUCUUCUUCUUUAUGAAAGAGACUACUUCUUGAGCUAGUCUCUGUCCCAUUUCUCUAAAAUCUCCAGAUGUUUUCUCUUCAUUAACCUCUGACAUUAAAAAUUCUACCUUAGGAUCAAUCAAAAGCCAUUGAUUACGAACUAGUCGCAAGUCCAGGUGAUGCCCCUGCACAUUUUUUAGCCCACAUGCUAGAAGGUCAGCUCUAAAUUUGGAAGAAAACCUAAUAGAUAACAUUUAUAAGACAGUCCCAUUCCUUUCUUCACGGCAUAUUUUGUUACACAAUUUGGUAGUUGAUUUAGCCGUACAAAAUAAUAUGGAUAUCAUAGUCAUAAUCCAACAGAAAAGGAAUUUAUUCAGGAAGCUAAUAGACCACUAUUUCGUAUUUGCAAUUUAUAAAAUUUCCAGUGAGCACACCAGCCAAGACAUAUGUUUGCGAGCGCAAUGCACAGAAAUAAUGCUCAAGAACUUUGAUGAAAGUCACCAAAUUGGAUCUUUCUGGCUACAACUUUCACUUAAGUUAAAAUGAGAAAGGAUUCAAAAGCAGACUAAUUGCGGGUAACAAGAAUAAAAGAUCAUAUUCUGUUAUUUUAGCCAAAAAAUAAAAAUCAGACAAACGAUUGUUCUCCCUAAUCUAAUGUACUGGAAUAUGCACAAAAGGAGAAAAGAAAUGGCAUAUAUUCAGUAAACCAAUAUUAGGGGUUUGUUAAAAUCUCAUUAAGAUACCCAGAAAAACACACGGAAACCUUUUAACUUUUAGAACAAAAACGUGAUGAAUAUUGUUGUAUAAGAACAUUUGGGCAUUAUUUGAAGAGAUGAUUUUAUUAAGGGAUAAUUUCAGAAAACUCCCUUGAAGUUUUUGACAAUUUCACCUAGUUCCCUUGAGAUUUGAAAAUUACACAUAACUCCUUGAGUUUACCAUUUUGGUAACAAAAACUAGUCAAUGGUCAAAAUUUUGAUGAAUAACCCAAAAUGCCCUCAUGAAAUUGUCAAAUUCAUACCUUCUUAUAAAAUUCUUUAAAAAAUUAUGCAAUAUGCACAAAAUCUCAAACCCACUUUCAACGCUCAUCUAUACAAUUUUAAACCUUUCUUAUUCAUACAUUUCAAAUUCGUACCAUUAUAGCAUGACCACCACUGCCAUUAGCCCCUAAAUUCUAAAACCUCAAUCUCAGUUACAAAUUGAAAAAAAAAAAAAAUCAGCACUGUUAAACUCAAACUUUCGCCAACUGUAUUAAUAUAACAUCCUAUCCCUCAAACGUUGGUGUACCAGCACAUGUUCUGUCCUUUUUAAACCUCCAGCUUACAUCUUCUAUUCAUCUUCAUAUCCUCCAAGCAAAGUUAAAAUUAAUUUGUAAUAUGUUAGAAUUGUGUUUAGGACAUAAUUAGUUAUUCCAUGAGUGACCCCUUUUUCCAUUAAAUGUUUAAUUGUGUGGUGCAUUCCUAUGCACAAGCUUAGGAGUGUAUUGUUUAAUUGCAUGAAAAUAUUAAUAUAUUAAGGUUAUUAUGGUCAUUUUAUAGGGCCAAGGGAGAGGCCAAGGGCAGUAAGUGUAAUAUUGAAAACCUCAAGGGUACUAGGUGAAAUUGUCAGAAACCUCGAGGGAGGUUUCUGAAAUUAACCCUUUUAUUAAUCAGGGUAAACGUUGUAAAUAUGGAUUAACAUGUCCUACACAGUUGGUUUUAAAUGUGGCUUGGAUGCAUGCCAAAUGUGCAAAAGAGAAUUUAAAGUUUGAAUGGAGGUUAUCUGUCAUGUUCCCAGACUGCCAGUGCAAAGAAAUUUUAAAAUGAAGGUGUAGGAAAAAUUAACCCUUUACAAAAUAUGUGCUUAAAAUCUUUCUCAAACUAUUUCUUCCGUGUCCGAACCACUUUAGAUCAGAGCUACCACAGAAGUCAAUAAAAGAUUUGAAAUAACACUGCAGAUCUGUUCUCAUCCAUCAUCAAUCUCCCCAAUAUUAAGGCAAUCUUAUUCAAGGUAUGUUGAUUUUAGUCUCUCUUUUUCUUAAAUCGUGCAACCAUAUAAAGCACACAGGUUCACAGUUUUGUCUUAAUACAAUGUAGUUACACAUAUAUGUAAGACCAUGGAUGCAACAGCUGUGCAUCACAUGGAAAUGAGGUAAAAGCACAUAAAACUAAAAUUAUUCUCAAUUAAGAAAUAGUAGCAAAGCAAGAGAGCUCAAGUAGCUACAAUAGCAUUGUCAUGUAGGAAGAAAAUAUUAAAAAUGUCUGCUGAAACUUUUGAAGGUCUACAGCUCAAAGAGAAGGAUAAUACCUGAAACCCAUGGACAAAGACAACUAUUUUCAAAACACGACCACUUUGCCGGGAGCUCACACCAGAUAAUUUGUCCAUCGCUUUGGAUCCAACUUCUGAAAGUGGGCUUACUUUGUUCUUCUGAUCCGCACGGCUGAAGUAUGAAUUUCCACUGGUUGAACGUAAUGGUGCAUUUACAGUCCGCUCUACAAGCAUGAUUGGAAUCCGUGAUGGAUCUCCAAAUAUAUGCAGGUCUUGAAUGGAUCUACUAUUGAUCUACAAAGAAGCAAUGCAAGUUCAGAUGUCAAUGCAAAUGAAGAUAGACCAGCAAACCAGAAAUAUUAUAGAGUGACCCACUCUCAUUUGGGCAAUACUUCGUCUAUGAAGCUCAGCUCGCAUAGCUGCAGUUUGGGCUGGCUGCAGAAAGCACAAUGAAAAUUUUCACUGGACCCUGCCAAUGCUUUGUCACAAUAAAUGAAGAAAAAAACAACAACAAUAUUAUGUAGAACACUAACUGCAGUCCCCAGCAAAGGAGAACUAUACAAGUACUAGAAUAAAACAGUAGAAGACACAAGUAUUGAGAAAAUUACAUCCUCAGAAAUUUUCCGCAGAACAGGUGCUCUCCCAUGAAAACCAUGGUAGGACGAGUCAUCAACAGCACUACUUAUAUAUUGAUGAGGCAUCUCAACCUUAGAGUGAACCAUCCAUAUUGACCAUUCCGCUCUCCGAUCAAUAGCCCAUUGAUCUUGUAAAUGUUCAAGAAUCUUUAUUUUGUUAGCCCUGGUCAGAAGCAAAAGAAAGUCUUUGAAGUUCAUGUAUGCAGCAGCAAGCACAGAAAAAUAGUCAGUGCAUUUCAUAAAUGUAAAACACAAAAAGCUACUCACAAUGAAAAAGCAAAAGGACACAUAAACUCUCUAGUACAAAUGGUUUGUCGUUCAUUUUUCAUCCAGUUAACGUCAUUCCACCAAUAAAUGCAGAAAUCAACAGAAUACUCAGCUUUGUGUUGAGUUAGGGAUCCCUUUUUCUGUUUUUAGGUCUUGAUUCUGUAUAUUCUAAUAGGACUUGUAUAGCAUACUUGUCUGAUAGGAUGAUGGUUUAACUUCUGAUACAUCAUCAGAGAUCAAAAUAUAUCCGAGUCUCAGAACACAAACUUCAAAAUGGCUGCAUACAGAAAGUGGUCUAACAAAGAUCACACUAAGAUGGCUGAAGGGAAAGGGACUAAAAAACCGGACGUUCUUUCUCUUUUUUUUUUUUUUUGGAGGCGUAUAAUCAAAUUUUAUUAAUUUAAGCAGAAUUUUGGCCAGAUUCUUGAGGAUCCAGUAAUAUAAGAAUUCCUAUCCAUUAACCAGUAUUUAAAAGCAUCAGUAAAUCAACUCAAAGACACUGACUAAAACCCCACUCUACCAGAAGUUCCCAAUUGUUCUAUUCCGUUGAACUCCUCCCAAGAAUUAGCCAUGUUGUGCCUUCCUGUACAAUAGGAUGCACAAUAUCAAGCAUAAACAUUCCUCUUUAGAAACAAGCAUAAUUUUCUGGUAAAUGAUAAUACUUCAGUCUACAGAACUUUGUUGAUACCUCUAUUUUCACUUGGUUAGAUUUCUUACUUAUAUUUUAUUUUAAUUACCUGGGAGCAAGAAUCCUAGUAAUUGUAGAAAACAAUAUUAGGCAUUUAUAAGUAUGGCUGUUCUACUUGUUUAGUGUUUUUAUUUGACUAUUAACUUAGCAAAGACCCCUCAAUAUGUGCUAGAUCCACCCUUCGGCUUGCAUCAAUUGUUAUGCCACAGACAACCAGUAAUAUAGUUGCAUAGGAAGCAGCUUAUGUUGGUGAGCUUGAGUUGAUACACAGACAAAAUUUUGAGUUUUUAAAAACCACGGAAGCUGAGGAUAAAAAGCAUGGCCAUCAAAAAGACUUGGACAUAGUAACAUGUAGUUUUGACUGCAGUACUUAAAGUUCCCCAAUUAGCCAAACUUAAAAACAAGUUAACUGAACCAAGCUCAACAGCUUUCAGCCCCUUGAAAUUCCAUAAACUUUUCAGCCUUGCAACUUUGUGCCACAGCCUAUUUCUGGGCUCAAACUUAAAGAUCCUGCAUCAACAUCCCAAUGCAUUUUCCACUUUCCUUUUUUUCCAAAAAAUGCAUAAUAAACAUGUCUCUGCUCUUACUUGCGCUGAAAAUAUCAUUACCAAACAGGUAGAUAGUCUAUAAGAUUGUCUUUCCCAAAGUUUCAGUAAAAUGAACUUACAUGGUUGUAGAAAAGAAGCUUUAUCUUUACAGCCUAGAGAAUUGCAGAAACAUGUGAUUGAUUUAAGAAUAUAACACAAAUGACAAACCUGUGAAACUUCGAAAACGUACUCCACAAGUGAAAUGUUUGAUUCCCAAGUAAGUGAAAUGAGCGAGUAAUUCAUCAUUAGAUAACGAAUCCAGAGUUCUAAAACUUUGAGUGUCAAUGUUUCCUUUCUGAAAGACACAAGAAAAAAAAAAAGCAUUGAAUCAUCAAAUUAAACUAUCAAAGUGAACAACAAAUCGACGAGUACUUCAAAGGAACAAAUUGAGAAUGGACCUGAAAGCCAUUAUUGUAUUCGCUCGACUCUUUUCCUGAAACAACAAGAUCAGUAUUUUCCUCAUCCCUGCUUGCAAAGCAUCCCAAAAACUCGUUAUCAUCAAGCUUAGAAGUAAAAUCAGGAAUAUCAACUGUUUGAUUAAUAGCCUUGCUGAGAUUUUGUAAUUCUUCAAUGAGCAGAUCACGAGCAGUUACAAAUGCCUUAAUAAGCAAUACCUGUUUCAAGAACAUGGACAGCAAUAGAAAGAUUCUAGGUCAGAACCAGUACAAGCUGAAGGCAAUUUCAAGUAAACUUCAAUUAGGAAAACCACUUGAUCAAAAGAUUUUUUCUAUUAACUACACAUCCAAGGAGAAACAAUCUAUUUCAAAGCACAAUUAAAGAAACGUGUGUUACAGGAAUUUGAAACUCUCAGAAAUUAUCACUAGGAUAUUUCUUAUCCACCUAUCAUGCAGAGCUUGUAGAACGGGAAUUAUUAGCUUUGACAUCUCAAUAUGGUGUUACUGAAACUGAUGAUGCAGAAGCAUUUUGACUUGCUUUUCCAAACAACCAAAACAGCAUUGAGUAUUUCAAUGCUUUUCAGGUGGUAAUUUAUUUAGGUUGGGAUACCUUUUUGAAGCCAGCUUAUUCCACGAAGCAAAGGAACUCCUUAGAAUCAAAAUAUGGCAUGAGGUUGGUAGGUUCUUAAUAUCAAUCUUAUUCAACUUAUUUACUAGAAAUACUUUUCAAGAUAAAUAAAAAACUGAACAAUACCCCUCAACUGGCUUAUUAUAGCUAUUUACCACUAUGAACAAUGCCAACAAUAAGUUUCCUUUCUAUUUGCCUCCCACAAUUUUUUCACAUACUAAGUUACAUUCACAAAGCCUUCUGAACUAUCACCUUAGUUGCAGUUUACCCUCAAAAAGUAGAUAUCCACUUGACCCUGACAGAUGUUUUUAGCAAGUUUUCUAAGCAAAUUAACAGUCAAAUCCAAUUUUUUUAUUUUAUUCGAUUUAAAAUUUCCAAUGAGUCUUCUAUAUUGAGUUCAAAUAUCUUCAGUUCAGUUUUCAUAUCAAUGAAUUUUCCUUUUUAUGAGGUCAUCUUUAAUUCAGUUCUCCACAUAUCACCAAAUUUUCCUUUUUCUGAGUUCUUUCUGUGUAAACAGCCUUUAUUCAAGGUUUUUCACAGUUUUUCCUAAAAACUAUUCUGUGGCCAUAGACCAAAGCUUUAAUUUUUCAUUCCACACCAGCAUGCAUCAUUAAUCAUGUUUUAAAAGUACUUUCUAAGUUAUAAUAUCCCAUUUCUAGUUUCCUUUACAGAUAUACUAGUGACUCAAAGUAUUAUUUUGCCACGUGCAGCAAACUCACGCUAAUUCUUGAUCCAAUCAGGUUUAGUCUCCAUGCUUCAGAAAUCUGUUUUCAUACCAAAUCAGAGUUAAUAACUAGCACCUUGAUAUAACAAGUGCUCAAGCCUUGAGGGUGCUACACCAAUUACUGAAUUCUUCAAUCCCGAAUACACUUCGUUGUUAAACAAACAUUUCCAGAUAAAUGAGAACCUGUACUUAUUCCACUAGUUGCAUACACCUAGGUUGUAGUUUCAAUGCAAACCCCCCAUAAAGAUGAUACUUAAGCAACCAUAGUUUCACAGUGGCCAUUGGUAACUUAAAACCUUAGACCUAGCAGCUAGCAGAGAAACCUAGAUUUUUAAGCCCAUUAAACACAUGUUGCCCAUUGGAUAUGCAACAUAACACUCUGUCUACCAAUCUUCUGUUGCAUGUAUCAUGAAAUUUGCCUUACUGGGUUGGAGGGGCAAUUUUUCCCGAUAUUGACAACUGUAAUAGGUACGAUUCUCACUAUAGGCACAACUCGGAUGUUACUUAUUAGAGGCCUAAUACUAGCGCAAUAGGCUUGUUAAGUAGCUAUAGAAACCAGGUAUAACAUGCAUAACUCCCUUGCCUCAGUGAUCUAACUCAAGUAUCCAUGCAGAAAAAGUUGAACCUUAAGUUUUAAAAGGAAACUUUCAACGUAUGCCAGGUAGUCCUCUUAAAUCGAUGUCUUGAAUGCAAAAGACAGAGCUGGUUGAUAGGAUUAAGACCAGAUACAAAUAUAUGAGUCUAAGCAGUAGCCAAGAACAAUUCAAGCCAAAAGACAGAUGAGAAUAAAAAUCAAAUGAAAUCUGAAGUUCCAGGAACAACACAUACUUGCUUCGAGGUAUCAUUCUUUUCGCCAGCAACUUCGCGACCUAGAGAACCACUGAAAAAGGAAACAAUCAUGUUUACUUAUCUAAAUUAAUCUCUAACAUAUAGCAAUUUGUGGGAAUACAAAGCCAAAUGCACCGAAGUACCUCUAAAAAAAAGUUAAGUUUUGGCUAGAUCGUCAAAAUUGUAGGUUGUCACUACUUAUCAGGUUCAAGAAAAAGGAAUAAGCAACAAACCUGGGUACCUGCAGUGAGGAGGGCAAAAGGCCACCUUUUAGAAGGCUGAUGUGUACGGUGAUAUCAACUAGAACUGAAUGAAAGGCAUCAAAGUGAACAGGGCAAUAUGUGUGUAGCCCCAGAAGAGAUUUGGGAGGAAGACGAAAUUCAUGAACGGCAGCAGGGCAUGCAUCCAAUGAAGCUAGCAAAUUUGAGCUGCAAAUAGUACCUAAGCAUCAGUGGCUUAAAGAGAUGUCUAGUUUUUACUCACAGAAGAAUGCAAAGUAUAAUUACAACUGUCCUUAUGCAAUACAUAACUCAA